UACGUAGGGGGCAAGCGUUGUCCGGAAUCAUUGGGCGUAAAGAGCGUGUAGGCGGCUCGGUAAGUCCGCUGUGAAAGUCCAGGCUCAACCCUGGAAUGCCGGUGGAAACUGUCGAGCUCGAGUCCGGAAGAGGCGAGUGGAAUUCCUGGUGUAGCGGUGAAAUGCGCAGAUAUCAGGAGGAACACCAAUGGCGAAGGCAGCUCGCUGGGACGGUACUGACGCUGAGGUGCGAAAGCGUGGGGAGCAAACAGG
rnacentral:rRNA from 1 species